rnacentral:rRNA from 1 species
AGAGUUUGAUCCUGGUUCAGAUUGAGCGCUGGCGGCAUGCCUUACACAUGCAAGUCGAACGGCAGCACGGGGGCAACCCUGGUGGCGAGUGGCGAACGGGUGAGUAAUACAUCGGAACGUGUCCUGGAGUGGGGGAUAGCCCGGCGAAAGCCGGAUUAAUGCCGCAUACGCUCUGAGGAGGAAAGGGGGGGAUCUUAGGACCUCUCGCUCAAGGGGCGGCCGAUGGCAGAUUAGCUAGUUGGUGGGGUAAAGGCCUACCAAGGCGACGAUCUGUAGCUGGUCUGAGAGGACGACCAGCCACACUGGGACUGAGACACGGCCCAGACUCCUACGGGAGGCAGCAGUGGGGAAUUUUGGACAAUGGGCGCAAGCCUGAUCCAGCAAUGCCGCGUGUGUGAAGAAGGCCUUCGGGUUGUAAAGCACUUUUGUCCGGAAAGAAAACCUUUGCCCUAAUACGGCGGGGGGAUGACGGUACCGGAAGAAUAAGCACCGGCUAACUACGUGCCAGCAGCCGCGGUAAUACGUAGGGUGCAAGCGUUAAUCGGAAUUACUGGGCGUAAAGCGUGCGCAGGCGGUUCGCUAAGACAGAUGUGAAAUCCCCGGGCUUAACCUGGGAACUGCAUUUGUGACUGGCGGGCUAGAGUAUGGCAGAGGGGGGUAGAAUUCCACGUGUAGCAGUGAAAUGCGUAGAGAUGUGGAGGAAUACCGAUGGCGAAGGCAGCCCCCUGGGCCAAUACUGACGCUCAUGCACGAAAGCGUGGGGAGCAAACAGGAUUAGAUACCCUGGUAGUCCACGCCCUAAACGAUGUCAACUAGUUGUCGGGUCUUCAUUGACUUGGUAACGUAGCUAACGCGUGAAGUUGACCGCCUGGGGAGUACGGUCGCAAGAUUAAAACUCAACACACGUCAUACAAUGGUCGGAACAGAGGGUCGCCAACCCGCGAGGGGGAAGCCAAUCCCAGAAAACCGAUCGUAGUCCGGAUCGCACUCUGCAACUCGAGUGCGUGAAGCUGGGAAAUCCUUUUUAGUAAUCGCGGAUCAGCAUGCCGCGGUGAAUACGUUCCCCGGGUCUUGUACACACCGCCCGUCACACCAUGGGAGUGGGUUUUACCAGAAGUGGCUAGUCUAACCGCAAGGAGGACGGUCACCACGGUAGGAUUCAUGACUGGGGUGAAGUCGUAACAAGGUAACCUCAGUCAGUCAA